AGUGAACGCUCGCGGUAGGCCUAACACAUGCAAGUCGAACGGCAGCACAGUAAGAGCUUGCUCUUACGGGUGGCGAGUGGCGGACGGGUGAGGAAUACAUCGGAAUCUACUUUUUCGUGGGGGAUAACGUAGGGAAACUUACGCUAAUACCGCAUACGACCUACGGGUGAAAGCAGGGGAUCUUCGGACCUUGCGCGAUUGAAUGAGCCGAUGUCGGAUUAGCUAGUUGGCGGGGUAAAGGCCCACCAAGGCGACGAUCCGUAGCUGGUCUGAGAGGAUGAUCAGCCACACUGGAACUGAGACACGGUCCAGACUCCUAUGGGAGGCAGCAGUGGGGAAUAUUGGACAAUGGGCGCAAGCCUGAUCCAGCCAUACCGCGUGGGUGAAGAAGGCCUUCGGGUUGUAAAGCCCUUUUGUUGGGAAAGAAAAGCAGCAGGUUAAUACCCCGCUGUUCUGACGGUACCCAAAGAAUAAGCACCGGCUAACUUCGUG
rnacentral:rRNA from 1 species